GAUGAACGCUGGCGGCGUGCCUAAUACAUGCAAGUCGAGCGAACGGACGAGAAGCUUGCUUCUCUGAUGUUAGCGGCGGACGGGUGAGUAACACGUGGAUAACCUACCUAUAAGACUGGGAUAACUUCGGGAAACCGGAGCUAAUACCGGAUAAUAUUUUGAACCGCAUGGUUCAAAAGUGAAAGACGGUCUUGCUGGCACGUAUAGAUGGAUCCGCGCUGCAUUAGCUAGUUGGUAAGGUAACGGCUUACCAAGGCAACGAUGCAUAGCCGACCUGAGAGGGUGAUCGGCCACCCUGGAACUUAGACACGGUCCAGACUCCUGCGUGAGGCAGCAGUCGGGAAUCUUCCGCAAUGGGCGAAAGCCUGACGGAGCAACGCCGCGUGAGUGAUGAAGGUCUUCGGAUCGUAAAACUCUGUUAUUAGUGAAUAACAUAUGUGUAAGUAACUGUGCACAUCUUGACGGUACCUAAUCAGAAAGCCACGGCUAACUACGUG
rnacentral:rRNA from 1 species